rnacentral:rRNA from 1 species
UAGGGAAUCUUCGGCAAUGGACGGAAGUCUGACCGAGCAACGCCGCGUGAGUGAAGAAGGUUUUCGGAUCGUAAAGCUCUGUUGUUAGAGAAGAACGUUGGUAGGAGUGGAAAAUCUACCAAGUGACGGUAACUAACCAGAAAGGGACGGCUAACUACGUGCCAGCAGCCGCGGUAAUAAGUAGGUCCCGAGCGUUGUCCGGAUUUAUUGGGCGUAAAGCGAGCGCAGGCGGUUCUUUAAGUCUGAAGUUAAAGGCAGUGGCUUAACCAUUGUACGCUUUGGAAACUGGAGGACUUGAGUGCAGAAGGGGAGAGUGGAAUUCCAUGUGUAGCGGUGAAAUGCGUAGAUAUAUGGAGGAACACCGGUGGCGAAAGCGGCUCUCUGGUCUGUAACUGACGCUGAGGCUCGAAAGCGUGGGGAGCAAACAGG